GAGCGACCGUGGGGGAGCUUUAAUUUAAGCUGAGAUGGGGUAAGCCCCAAACCCCGGAACCUGAUGUGGGUAAUGCCACCGUAGGGAACGGUCGCUGGCACCAC
rnacentral:ncRNA from 2 species